UAGGUUAUCUUAAUUCAACAUCGAGGUGAUAAACUUUUUCUUUGAUAUGAACUCUAAGAAAAUAUUAUCCUGUUAUCCCUAAAGUAGCUUUUAUUUAUUAAUCAUUAUUUCUUUUUUAAGAUAAUAAUGGGUCAUUAUACCCUACUUUGUAACUGUUAAAUUGAUUAAUUAAACAGUAAAUUAAUUUUUUUUUUAUUAAUUUAGUGUGUCUCUGUUUAUUUUUAGAGAUCAUCGCCCCAAUGAAACUAGCCUUUCUUUAUUAUUUUUAUAAUUUUUAAUUAUGUUUAUAUAAAGAAUUGUAGUUAAGCUUUAUAGGGUCUUUUCGUCUUACAAUAUUACAUAGCAUCUUAACUAUGAUUUCAAUUUUUUUUUCUAUUUUAUAAGACAGAGGAAUUUUCGUUUAACCAUUCAUACUAUCCACUAAUUAAGUGGCGAAUUAUUAUGCUACAUUCAUACAGUCAUAGUUACUGCAGCCAUUUAGUUUUUUUUAUUUUCUUAAUUUAUAAAAAUUUUUUUAUAACCAUUGGGC
rnacentral:rRNA from 1 species